GAUGAACGCUGGCGGCGUGCCUAAUACAUGCAAGUCGAGCGAACGGACGAGAAGCUUGCUUCUCUGAUGUUAGCGGCGGACGUGUGAGUAACACGUGGAUAACCUACCUAUAAGACUGGGAUAACUUCGGGAAACCGGAGCUAAUACCGGAUAAUAUUUUGAACCGCAUGGUUCAAAAGUGAAAGACGGUCUUGCUGUCACUUAUAGAUGGAUCCGCGCUGCAUUAGCUAGUUGGUAAGGUAACGGCUUACCAAGGCAACGAUGCAUAGCCGACCUGAGAGGGUGAUCAGCCACACUGGAACUGAGACACGGUCCAGACUCCUACGGGAGGCAGCAGUAGGGAAUCUUCCGCAAUGGGCGAAAGCCUGACGGAGCAACGCCGCGUGAGUGAAGAAGGUCUUCGGAUCGUAAAACUCUGUUAUUAGGGAAGAAAAUAUGUGUAAGUAACUGUGCACAUCUUGACGGUACCUAAUCAGAAAGCCACGGCUAACUACGUG
rnacentral:rRNA from 1 species